GCCCGCUCGCGUCCCUCGAGGUGGAGCAGGCGGCGGAGGCAGCGACGGCCGAGAGGACGGCGGCGGCGGCUCCCCAAGAGGUCUCUGGGUUUCGGUGUUUCCGGCUGGCUAAGGUCUGACUCCUCCUCCCUCCACCGCCUCCCCCGCCCGCGAAGCCACCAUCUUGACCUCGCCCGCUGGCCUCUGCCGUUGCUGCUGUGGCGAGGCCCGGAGGCUGCGCCGUCAGUCAAGCGAACCGCAGAGUCCGCGCCCACCGGCUGCGUCAUAAUCCCGCGUCAUAAUCCCGCGCUAGGGACGCUCCCCACGUCGUCAUCACCCAUGGUUGCCAUGGUUUCCGCCCACCUCCUCGGCUUACUCUAGCUUCGUGCCACCCCGUGGCGCAUGCGCUUUUCGGUAGCCGUGCUUUCCGGCCUUGGGGUUGCAGCUUCACCCUCGCAGACUCGGCUUAGCGAGCCAGUCGGUGCUUCCGCGGGGCAAAAUUAUUAGCCGUUUUAUUAGAGCCCAUUAAACGUUUCAUAAACAUGGUUCAGAGCUGCCUGGGAGAAGAAAAGCCAAAGGAUGCCACCCUCUCGACUUAUCCCACCCGCGGGAGUCUGAAAGCCGACGCCAGGAGAAAUCCCGCGAAGGCCGCCCGAGAUCCUGGUGGAGGCGACGCUGUGUGCGUUUAUGGAGCGCUUGCGGUGCGUGGCACUGGGCUGGGUGUGGUGGGCGCUGCCGAGAAAAAGGUUCCUGCCAUCCAUUUGCACAUUACCCUUCCCACCUCCUGCCCAGAUGGACAGAAGUGAGGACAUUCAUCGGCCGCAUUUUACCAAUGGCAAGGAGAUAGCGACUGAAGGGCAAGAACCUAGGGUUUCCUGUCUUUGAUAUUUCUCAUCUUAGAGGUUAAUUUCCUCAAACUGCAUGUCUGGGGAAUAACCUUGUGGUUAUGACAAUUCCCAAUGGAAAGCAAACUUGGCAAGGUGCAGACUUAGAACCUAAGAGUUCGAUGGAGAUCUUCAGAGAUAUAAAUUAGCUACUCAACAUAUCUGUUAUUCUGCCCUGAUUGCACUGUAAAGCAAAAGGAGAAAGGCCAUUAUGGGGAAAAAGAUCCAAAAGGACUCAUCUAAAACACAAGUUGGGUAGAGGAAAUAGAGGAGCCAGUAUUUGGAGAUGUUUACCCUGCUGUUUUGGAAGUUGUCCAUUUUACUUGAUAUUGGGACGUCUCAAGAGACCACUAUACCUUGAGUGUAAAAUACAGGUAUAUUCCUUCCUGCCAUCAUCGUGUAGCGAUAAUGCUACUUCCUCCUGAUGAUUGGAUUCAAUUACCCCAACUAACACGGUGACUCUUCCUUGCCUGCUGGUCUCCUGGCACAAGGACCCUGAACUGGGAAACCUCAGCAAGUUAAAGUUUAAAGGAUCUAUUAUUGUGUCUCUUCAUGAAAAGGUUCCUCUCUUGGGAAUCAGGACUUCUAGACUCACAAAGUUGUGGGGAUGAGAAGUUCAAACUCCCCACAUGGGUCACUGGGAGUGAGAGUAUGUGGUUAUAUUAAUUUCUUAUCACUGCUAUGACACUACAAACUUAGUGGCUUCAAACAACACAAAUUUAUUUUCUUACAGUUCUGGAAGCGUAAAAUCAAGGUAUCAACAGGACUGUUUUUCCUGAAGUCUUCAAGAAAAAGUCUGUUUCCUUGUCUUUUUCAAUUUCUAGAGGCUACCUACAUUUCUUGGCUCAUGGCCCCUUACUCAUAUCACCCCAUCCUCCUGCCUAAGUCAUUGCAUCUACUAAGCAAAUCUGCCUCUCUCUUGUAAGAAUCUUUAUGAUUAUAUUGGGCCUAUUGGAUAGUCCAGGAUAAUCUCUGUAUCUUGAGGUCAUUAACUUAGUCAUAUCCACAAAGUCUCUUUUAUCAUGAAGGUAAAAUAUUCAUAGAAUCCAGGUAUUAGGAUCUGAACAUAUUUGGGGGCCAUUAUUCAGCCUACCACACAGUGGGAAUUCUAUUUAUAUCCUUUAAUUCCCAAACACGCAUGUUAUGUAUAUAUGAGACACAGCACCAUAAAAUGAGUGUUGAUUUAGAGUAUGUACUGUACCCUGGUGGACAAGGUCAUUCCAUCUUCACAGGCUAUUAUCCUCAAGCUUUUGCUUCAGUUUCACCUUCAAAAGGGUUUUCCAUCAUUCCAUCAGGCUAGCAUUUUCUCGGUUGUAUAGUAUGUGAUAGGACCAGUGGAUCUCAUGGUUAUGUACCUGCUGAUACACCUCCUUUGCUGUAAAGUGGGUCCCUAAAUCAAAAGCAAUAUUACACAGGAUACAUGUUGAUGGAUCAAAUACCUGUAAACCUGUGAAUAGUAGAGCUGGCCAACAACUUACAGGCAAAGAAGUCAAACUCAUACAUGCAGAUGGGCAGUUUCUAGUCAAGUAGAAUCACUGCCCAUUCUAGGAUGGAAGGAAUCCAACAUAAAUCAACUUGCUGCCCAAGUAGCUGUUUGGUAUCCUUGAGGGUUGGUGCUGUAUCAGGAACUUGGUGUUUAACAUUGGGUAGUGGCUAUUUUGUUGUUGUUGUUUUGUUUUGUUUGAGACAGAGUUUCACUGGUUGCCCAGGCUGGAGUGCAGUGGCACCAUCUCGGCUCACUGCAACCUCUGCCUCCUGGGUUCAAGGGAUUCUCCUGCCUCAGCCUCGUGAGUAGCUGGGAUUACAGGCAUGCGCCACCACGGCCAGCUAAUUUUGUAUUUUUAGUAGAGACGGGGUUUCUCCAUGUUCGUCAGGCUGGUCUCAAACUCCAGACCUCAGGUGAUCCGCCCACCUCAGCCUCCCAAAGUGCUGGGAUUACAGACAGGAGCCAUUGCACCCAGCCUGGGGAUUGGCUAUUUUAUAAGUGGAGGCUAUCUAUUGGCCUCUUGCUCACUUGCAUUCUUGCAAGAUGACUACUUUGUCAUAAGCCCCCUAUGCCAUUCCUGGGGGCGGAGGGAGGGGGCGGUGGAGCUGAUGGCUGCAACUGCUGAAGUUUACUGGCUAAAUCUGUCUACUUGGUUAUUUAAUGCUGCUUACAUGUUGGAUUGUCUCUGGCAGAUAAAGAUUGUGUUAUACAAUACAAAAACCCCUCCUUAUGUGCCAUAUCUAUUUCUCCUCUGCUUCUCCAGACUUCUUGUCCCUGAUAUGCCAGUCUUAUUCCAGACCCCUGAUCAACUAGCCAACUUAUUUGCCAUGAAAGUAUGUUCUUACUUCAAGACUCUUUCCACACAAAGUCGAUGACCAGGAAUACUGCCCCACAUUAUGCCUUUUGGGAAGGUUCUCCUCACUGCUGUCUUUUAAGGCCAGUCCUGUGUGGGGCUGUAGGGCAGUAGCAGUUCAUUUUUGUUUUGAACCUAUAUUCCAAGAAAACUCAGUGAAUUCAGCUCAGGCUUUUUUGUCCUCCAUAAGCUAGACAUGAGAGCCUCCCAAGUGGCCAUAAUUGUAAGCUGAGGAAGGGACAUUGGUAAAGAAUCAGAUAUGACAUGGAAGCCUGACCACCUGCCUGUGCCCAGCUCAUGAUGGGCCUCUCUGGCUACAUGGUCACUUGAUGUCACCAUGUUCUUACCAAGAACUUGAUGUCACUUGUUCUUACCAAGGCACAUUAGCAUGGAUAGAGUUGUUUUUGGGGUUUUGCACUGCAGAUGGCCCAGCCUUGCCACAGAAUGCCAGGAGUCGACCUUGAUUCUCCCAUUGGAGCUUGCCGUCAACUUUCAUGGCUUCUUAUCACAUUUACUCUUGUCCCAUAGAAUAUCCUGAAUUGGUCCGUGCAACAGGGCUAAAUACACCAUACCUGCUAGAGAACUUUUACAUGCUAUGGAUCCCACUGAAAACUGGCAGAUUUCUAUCUCACCCAGUUUACGAGUCAGAACAGUACUGCCAACUUCUGAAUUCCCACAGAAGCCUACACAGCUUGGUGUGCUUCCCUGGUGGCAGAAUAAUUUUGGUGAAAUGAGUGGGUGAGAUGCAAUAAUUUGUCCUUUACUGUGAAGGGGAUAUCUUGGCAUUCAAGCAGCCUACUGGGCCCUAAAGAUUUCACUGAGUUAACAGCUUGCUGGGUCUUAAGGAUUAUUUUCCAUCCUCCAGUGUACAGUAUGCUAGCUGCUUAUUAUUCACCUUACCCAGUUAGCAUGAUGUCAUCAAUGUGGUAGGUCAUUGUGACAUUAUGUGGGAUGUUCAGAUGGUCUAGAUCUCUUUGGAUUAUGACGCAGUGUGGAAGAGUUAACAUAACCCUAAGCCAAUACUAUAAAUGGGUACUGCUGUCCUAUAUAAACACAAACUUAAUUCUUGUCCAGCACCCUCAGGACCCAGUUCCAUACACAUGCUCAUGGUUCCUGUUGGUACAUGUUGGUUAGAUCCUGCAUCUCUUUGGUCAUAUAAGCCCAUUUGGAAUUGAAAGUAGACACACAGGAUGAGGGCAAAACACCUGCAGAACAGCUGCUUCAUCAUGGUGUUGUGGGCUUUUUUCAUAUUAGGUUUUGUUACCUUUGAGUUUUUAAAUUAUGUAUGUGUAAAGCUUCGAUUAAAAAAAUAAAAAUUAAAAAGAAACUGA